AUUGAACGCUGGCNGCAUGCUUUACACAUGCAAGUCGAACGGCAGCACAGAGAAGCUUGCUUCUUGGGUGGCGAGUGGCGAACGGGUGAGUAACAUAUCGGAACGUACCGAGUAAUGGGGGAUAACUAAUCGAAAGAUUAGCUAAUACCGCAUAUUCUCUGAGGAGGAAAGCAGGGGACCUUCGGGCCUUGCGUUAUUCGAGCGGCCGAUAUCUGAUUAGCUAGUUGGUGGGGUAAAGGCCUACCAAGGCGACGAUCAGUAGCGGGUCUGAGAGGAUGAUCCGCCACACUGGGGCUGAGACACGGCCCAGACUCCUACGGGAGGCAGCAGUGGGGAAUUUUGGACAAUGGGCGCAAGCCUGAUCCAGCCAUGCCGCGUGUCUGAAGAAGGCCUUCGGGUUGUAAAGGACUUUUGUCAGGGAAGAAAAGGCUGUUGCUAAUAUCAAUAGCUGAUGACGGUACCUGAAGAAUAAGCACCGGCUAACUACGUGCCAGCAGCCGCGGUAAUACGUAGGGUGCGAGCGUUAAUCGGAAUUACUGGGCGUAAAGCGAGCGCAGACGGUUACUUAAGCAGGAUGUGAAAUCCCCGGGCUCAACCUGGGAACUGCGUUCUGAACUGGGUGACUAGAGUGUGUCAGAGGGAGGUAGAAUUCCACGUGUAGCAGUGAAAUGCGUAGAGAUGUGGAGGAAUACCGAUGGCGAAGGCAGCCUCCUGGGAUAACACUGACGUUCAUGCUCGAAAGCGUGGGUAGCAAACAGG
rnacentral:rRNA from 1 species